rnacentral:tRNA from 1 species
GCGGGCGUAGUUCAGUGCCAGAACGCCGGCCUUCCCGGCCGGAGAGGUGGGUUCAAUUCCUGCCACCCGCUCCA